rnacentral:lncRNA from 1 species
UGCUGAUUUCUCUCCCUCUUUGAUCUUUCUCGUUGCGCAAAUAAGAGGCUGCCUAUGUUGUUCAAUUCUUUGUGCAACGAGAAAGAUCGAAGAAAAGAGGGAGAGAAAUCAGUGGUUUGUGAUUCCUCUAGAAUAUCCGCGGGAGAGGGGGCACACAGAGUGUAUUGGGGUCGCUGCUGGGACGCUCGAUCGGCGAAUGCAGGAGCAUGGGAGGGAUGUCAAAGCGGGAAGGAUUGCCACAGCACUGUCUGAGGAAGCGUUUUUCUGAGCAGGUGCGUGUGGAUUGGGUCAAUGCAAAGGUCCUUGAGCCGCUUAUGGUGCCGGCACGGGUGGUCACACGAGAGACGGUGGAGAUACUGAAUGGAGGCUGCCGCCGGGAUGUUGCAAACAACAGGCCUUCCAUGCGGCUGCCUUCAGCAUGGAGGUGCUUAUUGGAUGAGUGUGGGGACUCUUAAUACAACGGGACAUUUUUCGUGUUUGUGUUUGCUUGGAUUGUAAUUUCUGUGUUUCUAGUUGGGCUGUGG